rnacentral:rRNA from 1 species
UGGAAACGGGUGGUAAUGCCGGAUGCUCCGACUCCUCGCAUGGGGUGUCGGGAAAGAUUUCAUCGGUAUGGGAUGGGGUCGCGUCCUAUCAGGUAGUCGGCGGGGUAACGGCCCACCGAGCCUACGACGGGUAGCCGGCCUGAGAGGGCGACCGGCCACAUUGGGACUGAGAUACGGCCCAGACUCCUACGGGAGGCAGCAGUGGGGAAUAUUGCACAAUGGGCGCAAGCCUGAUGCAGCGACGCCGCGUGCGGGAUGACGGCCUUCGGGUUGUAAACCGCUUUUGAUCGGGAGCAAGCCUUCGGGUGAGUGUACCUUUCGAAUAAGCACCGGCUAACUACGUGCCAGCAGCCGCGGUAAUACGUAGGGUGCAAGCGUUAUCCGGAAUUAUUGGGCGUAAAGGGCUCGUAGGCGGUUCGUCGCGUCCGGUGUGAAAGUCCAUCGCUUAACGGUGGAUCUGCGCCGGGUACGGGCGGGCUGGAGUGCGGUAGGGGAGACUGGAAUUCCCGGUGUAACGGUGGAAUGUGUAGAUAUCGGGAAAAAAACACCA